AUAUGAAUCACCUGGGGAUCUUGUUAAACUGCAGGUUCAGAUUCUCUAGAUGUGUGGUGAGGCCUGUGAAUCUACUUUUCUAACAAGCUCCCAGGUGAGACUGAU
rnacentral:pre_miRNA from 1 species